AACGCGAAGAACCUUACCUACUCUUGACAUCCACGGAACUUAGCAGAGAUGCUUUGGUGCCUUCGGGAGCCGUGAGACAGGUGCUGCAUGGCUGUCGUCAGCUCGUGUUGUGAAAUGUUGGGUCAAGUCCCGCAACGAGCGCAACCCUUAUCCUUUGUUGCCAGCGGUCCGGCCGGGAACUCAAAGGAGACUGCCAGUGAUAAACUGGAGGAAGGUGGGGAUGACGUCAAGUCAUCAUGGCCCUUACGAGUAGGGCUACACACGUGCUACAAUGGCGCAUACAAAGAGAAGCGACCUCGCGAGAGCAAGCGGACCUCAUAAAGUGCGUCGUAGUCCGGAUUGGAGUCUGCAACUCGACUCCAUGAAGUCGGAAUCGCUAGUAAUCGUAGAUCAGAAUGCUACGGUGAAUACGUUCCCGGGUCUUGUACACACCG
rnacentral:rRNA from 1 species